rnacentral:rRNA from 1 species
UACGAAGGGGGCUAGCGUUGUUCGGAAUUACUGGGCGUAAAGCGCGCGCAGGCGGCUAUCCAAGUCAGUGGUGAAAGCCCGGAGCUCAACUCCGGAACUGCCAUUGAAACUGUUUAGCUGGAGUAUGAGAGAGGUGAGUGGAAUUCCCAGUGUAGAGGUGAAAUUCGUAGAUAUUGGGAAGAACACCGGUGGCGAAGGCGGCAACCUGGUCCUUGACUGACGCUGAGGCGCGAAAGCGUGGGGAGCAAACAGG